GACGAACGCUGGCGGCGUGCUUAACACAUGCAAGUCGUACGGUAAGGCCCUUUCGGGGGUACACGAGUGGCGAACGGGUGAGUAACACGUGAGUAACCUGCCCACAACUGUGGGAGAACGCUAGGAAACUGGUGCUAAUACUGGAUAUGUGCUCCUGCUGCAUGGUGGGGGUUGGAAAGCUCCGGCGGUUGUGGAGGGACGCGCGGCCUAUCAGCUUGUUGGUGGGGGAGUGGCCUACCAAGGCGGCGACGGGUAGCCGGCCUGAGAGGGUGACCGGCCACCUUGGGACUGAGAUACGGCCCAGACUCCUACGGGGGGCAGCAGUGGGGAAUAUUGCACCAUGGGCGCGAGCCUGAUGCAGCAACGCCGCGUGCGGGAUGACGGCCUUCGGGUUGUAAACCGCUUUCCGCAGGGACGAAGCUUUUUGUGACGGUACCUGCAGAAGAAGCACCGGCUAACUACGUG
rnacentral:rRNA from 1 species